rnacentral:rRNA from 1 species
UACGAAGGGGGCUAGCGUUGCUCGGAAUCACUGGGCGUAAAGGGUGCGUAGGCGGGUCUUUAAGUCAGGGGUGAAAUCCUGGAGCUCAACUCCAGAACUGCCUUUGAUACUGAAGAUCUUGAGUUCGGGAGAGGUGAGUGGAACUGCGAGUGUAGAGGUGAAAUUCGUAGAUAUUCGCAGGAACACCAGUGGCGAAGGCGGCUUACUGGUCCAUUACUGACGCUGAGGUGCGAAAAGCGUGGGGAGCAACAGGG